rnacentral:rRNA from 1 species
UGCCUACGGGGGGCUGCAGUAGGGAAUAUUGCGCAAUGGGCGAAAGCCUGACGCAGCGACACCGUGUGUAGGAUGAAGAUCUUCGGAUCGUAAACUAUUGUCAAUUGAAGACGAAGGCAGUAGAGUUAAGAGCUCGAAUGCUGACGGUAUUCAAUAAGGAAGUCUCGGCUAACUCCGUGCCAGCAGCCGCGGUAAUACGGAGGAGGCAAGCAUUGUCCGGAAUUAUUGGGCGUAAAGAACACGUAGGUGGUUUUUCAAGUCAUGUGUGAAAACUUUGGGCUUAACUCAAAGAUUGCAUAUGAUACUGAUUAACUAGAGUACAGUAGAGGAAAGUGGAAUUCCUGGUGUAGCGGUGAAAUGCGCAGAUAUCAGGAAGAACACCAGUGGCGAAAGCGGCUUUCUGGACUGUUACUGACGCUGAGGUGUGAAAGCUAGGGGAGCGAACAGGAUUAGAUACCCUAGUAGUCU